CCCUGAUCUCUAGUUAAAGUGGUAGACAGCUAAAAAGACGGUUAGUUUAAGGGGAUGGAUGCUUGAGUUGGGGGUUUCUUAGGGGUGUAAUCCGUAGGUUUCUUUUUACUUUUUGCAAGCUUGUGUAAGAGCGAAUCCGUGUGUCUCAGGCAAUGGACCAGGAUUAGAUACCCUGUUACUCUGAGUGUAAAGAAUAAAUAGAGAAGAUAUUUUGCUGGGCGACUACGUUAUAACUAGUAAAAGUCGAAGUACUUGGCGGUCUAAAAUAAUCAGCCCGUGAGACUUGACGGUUAAACCGAUGAUCCGCGUGAUAUCUUACUUACCUUUGAAAGAUCAGCUGGUGUAAGGUCGUAGUCAGUUUAUGUUGUGAGGGUAUAGGCAAGCAUUCUUUGUCGGAAUUAAUUCAGAUCGUUUUGCUGCCUAUGGGUAAGGCUUAGUUGAGUCACAUUGAUAAGAAUUAAACUAAAAGUCUCUAAGAAAAGAGGGCUGGAGGAAGGAAUGGGUAGUAGUGCGGAAGUAGUGCGUCUUCGCGAAUAGUAAAUUUUUAGGUGUACAAAUCGCCCGUC
rnacentral:rRNA from 1 species